AACGAACGCUGGCGGCAUGCCUAACACAUGCAAGUCGAACGAUUGCCUUCGGGUGAUAGUGGCGCACGGGUGCGUAACGCGUGGGAAUCUGCCCUUAGGUUCGGAAUAACAGCUGGAAACGGCUGCUAAUACCGGAUGAUAUCGCGAGAUCAAAGAUUUAUCGCCUGAGGAUGAGCCCGCGUUGGAUUAGGUAGUUGGUGGGGUAAAGGCCUACCAAGCCGACGAUCCAUAGCUGGUCUGAGAGGAUGAUCAGCCACACUGGGACUGAGACACGGCCCAGACUCCUACGGGAGGCAGCAGUGGGGAAUAUUGGACAAUGGGCGCAAGCCUGAUCCAGCAAUGCCGCGUGAGUGAUGAAGGCCCUAGGGUUGUAAAGCUCUUUUACCCGGGAAGAUAAAGACUGUACCGGGAGAAUAAGCCCCGGCUAACUCCGUG
rnacentral:rRNA from 1 species